GACGAACGCUGGCGGCGUGCUUAACACAUGCAAGUCGAACGGAAAGGCCCUGCUUUUGUGGGGUGCUCGAGUGGCGAACGGGGGAGUAACACGUGAGUAACCUGCCCUUGACUUUGGGAUAACUUCAGGAAACUGGGGCUAAUACCGGAUAGGAGCUCCUGCUGCAUGGUGGGGGUUGGAAAGUUUCGGCGGUUGGGGAUGGACUCGCGGCUUAUCAGCUUGUUGGUGGGGUGGUGGCUUACCAAGGCUUUGACGGGUAGCCGGCCUGAGAGGGUGACCGGCCACAUUGGGCCUGAGAUACGGCCCAGACUCCUACGGGAGGCAGCAGUGGGGAAUAUUGCACAAUGGGCGGAAGCCUGAUGCAGCAACGCCGCGUGCGGGAUGACGGCCUUCGGGUUGUAACCCGCUUUCGCCUGUGACGAAGCGUGAGUGACGGUAAUGGGUAAAGAAGCACCGGCUAACUACGUG
rnacentral:rRNA from 1 species